rnacentral:rRNA from 1 species
UUAUACCGCAUAAUAUCUGUGGAUUAAGGUGGCUUAGGCUGCCGCAGAUGGAUGAGCCUGCGUUGGAUUAGCUAGUUGGUGGGGUAAGGGCCUACCAAGGCUACGAUCCAUAGCUGAUUUGAGAGGAUGAUCAGCCACAUUGGGACUGAGACACGGCCCAAACUCCUACGGGAGGCAGCAGUGGGGAAUAUUGGACAAUGGGGGAAACCCUGAUCCAGCAAUGCCAUGUGUGUGAAGAAGGCUCUAGGGUUGUAAAGCACUUUAGUUGGGGAGGAAAGCCUAUGAGUUAAUAGCUUGUAGGAAGGACGUUACCCAAAGAAUAAGGACCGGCUAACUCCGUGCCAGCAGCCGCGGUAAUACGGGGGGUCCGAGCGUUAAUCGGAAUUACUGGGCGUAAAGGGUCUGUAGGUGGUUUGUUAAGUCAGAUGUGAAAGCCCAGGGCUCAACCUUGGAACUGCAUUUGAUACUGGCAAACUAGAGUAUGGUAGAGGAAUGGGGAAUUUCUGGUGUAGCGGUGAAAUGCGUAGAGAUCAGAAGGAACACCAAUGGCGAAGGCAACAUUCUGGACCAAUACUGACACUGAGGGACGAAAGCGUGGGGAUCAAACAGGAUUAGAUACCCUGGUAGUCCACGCUGUAAACGAUGAGUACUAGCUGUUGGAUUCGGUGUAAAGGAUCUAGUGGCGCAGCUAACGCGUUAAGUACUCCGCCUGGGGACUACGGCCGCAAGGCUAAAACUCAAAGGAAUUGACGGGGACCCGCACAAGCGGUGGAGCAUGUGGUUUAAUUCGAUGCAACGCGAAGAACCUUACCUGGUCUUGACAUCCUGCGAACUUUCUAGAGAUAGAUUGGUGCCUUCGGGAACGCAGUGACAGGUGCUGCACGGCUGUCGUCAGCUCGUGUUGUGAAAUGUUGGGUUAAGUCCCGCAACGAGCGCAACCCCUAUUGAUAGUUACCAUCAUUAAGUUGGGUACUCUAUUGAGACUGCCGCUGACAAGGCGGAGGAAGGUGGGGACGACGUCAAGUCAUCAUGGCCCUUACGACCAGGGCUACACACGUGCUACAAUGGGUAUUACAGAGGGCUGCGAAAGUGCGA